UACGGGGGGGGCAAGCGUUGUUCGGAAUUACUGGGCGUAAAGGGCCAGUAGGCGGCCAACUAAGUCGGAUGUGAAAUCCCCAGGCUCAACUUGGGAACUGCAUCCGAUACUGGAUGGCUUGAAUUCGGGAGAGGGAUGCAGAAUUCCAGGUGUAGCGGUGAAAUGCGUAGAUAUCUGGAGGAACACCGGUGGCGAAGGCGACAUCCUGGACCAACACUGACGCUGAGGAGCGAAAGCCAGGGGAGCAAACGGG
rnacentral:rRNA from 1 species